AGGCCCAACCGCGGCAAGGGUCUUGGCGGUCUGGUCGGUGUACUCCUUCUUACUGGCCUGCUAAGUCCCAAGCCGCGGUGGGCCCUGU
rnacentral:pre_miRNA from 1 species